UUUCACUGCUGAAAAUGGAACAAUUGACACUGAUCAUUAUGUUUCAGGCAUUUGUCCUCAACCGCGGUAAGAACGUUUACAUUGGAAACUUGAGUUUCCGGGACAGAUCGCAGACACACUUAUCCCUGGAGAGGUCCGUUCGGGUGCUUAUUUCCAACGUCAGCAUAAGGGCCCCUCAGCAGAGCCCCAACACCGACGGGAUGCACUUGCAGCAGUCUAGGUAUGUCUUGAUUGAGGACAGUCACAUAAGAACAGGCGAUGACUGUGUCUUGAUUGGGGUGACUCAUCCUACCUCUAUGUCAGGGGGAUCCUAUGCAACCCAGGUCAGGGGAUAAGCGUUGGAAGUCUUGGCAAAGCCGGAAAGCAUGAGACAGUUCAUGCUGUUAUUGUUAGAGAUGUAAGCUUAGCCGGGACCAUGAAUGGAGUUUGGAUCAAGACAUGGCAGGGAGGCCGUGGAUAUGUUAGAAACAUUCUCUUCAACCGCAUUAACAUGAUUGCAUCUGAUCUUCCCAUCAUCAUCGACCAGAAUUACAGCAACCACGAGAUCAGGUUUCAAGCCACGUGACCCUUGCCGGUUUAACAUGAUUUCAUCGGAUUGGGCAUUUCUGUAGUACCUUGCCGGUGAUCCUCCUUAGGGCUGGGACUAGGAUCCUGUCAUAGACAGGAACCCACAAUGUGAGGCUCAGGCUCGUGAACACAGUAUGGGACGCCGCCGGGAUUUUGAAGUCGGUGCUCCGGGAGAGGCGGUCCAACUGAAGAGCCUGGAAUAUGCCGUAAGUAUGGUUCUGGGCAUUCGCCAGGUGGUAGAUAAUUGCAGAGGCCCAAAUUGGGAUCACUCUCAGAACACAUUUCAUUUCCUCCACUUGCUGUACACUGCAGAGUCUCCAAGAAUUCGAGGCAGAGCCAUCGAUAUUGAUUCCGUCCACCGGCAUAAUGACUGCAGAUUUGUCGAGGAACCUGGAGAGAUAGGACAGUUAACCAGAUAAUUACUUGAAUAUGAUGAAUGAUGUAGAUAAAUUGAUUAUGUCAAAACUUGUGUUUUACCUGAAUUGAUCAGUAGAAGGGAGCUUUGAGUUGGUGGACUUUUUCGACACGUGAUUGAAAAGGCUAACCGUGGGCUGGUCCGGGACUGUCAGCCGCCGCUUCCUGACAGCAGCGACCAGCACUUGGGUGAGGCUUGUAAGUGGGCUCCCAUCGGGCCUCACCUUGACCUAUAGACCGGAGCCCAAAAACAGAAGCGUGCAGGACAAGAGCAUGAGACCUGUGGGAAUAGCGAACCCGAUUGGCCAGCUCACGUUGGAUUGCACGUACACGAUCAGUGUGGCUGAUACCAUCAAAGCAACCGUGAGGGUGAAGUAGUACCAGUUGAAGAAGCUGUCAACUCCCCGUCGGCCCGAUUCAGUGGAGGGAUCAAACUGAUCAGCGCCAAAGGCGAAGUUGCACGGGCGGAUCCCACCGGCUCCAAUGACCAGGAGGCCUAAUCCGACAAAGAGGAAGGCUAAUUGGCCGGAUGUCGGGCCAACGCAGGCAGUGGAUUGGGCUGAGCACUGGGGAGGGUGCAGAGCUGGGAAUGUUGCCGUGAGGGUUAUCGAUAUGAGGCCCUGUAACACCAACUACGUGGUCACAUUAUUUCGACCGGCAAUCACCAAAUACUCUCAGAACAAAAAUUAAUGUUGACUGCAGUUCAACAUUAAACAUAUUCUUGUGCAUAAGUGACGGAAUGGGAUAUUACCAGGAAAGAGGAAACGGAAGCAAAACCAAGAGUCUUGUAGCGGCCGAAGUAAGUAUCAGAAAGGUAAGCUCCGACCAGCGGCGACAUGUUAGAGGUUCCAUUGAAGACAUUGAUGAGAGUGGCCGCACUCACAUUCUUCAUGUUAAACACCUCGGUGAAGUAGACCGUGAGGUUAGAUAGUGCGCCAAUUGUUCCCAGCUUCUCAAAUGUUUCAUUUCCUGCAGGAAAUAUAUGGUAUCCUUCAUGCGUCAAUCAGGGCAUCUGUCUAGACUAUCACUAAUGCUAAACAAUGUUUCACAGCAAAAUAAGCAUAUAGAUGGGCUGUCGGGAAAUGAGGAAGCAGCUCGAGAAGGGGCCGGCCUUACCGAUUAUGAAGGGCAUGACUUUAAGACCUCUAUAGACAGGCAGUUGAUCCUCAUGAUCAGCUAAACCAUUUGUCUGGGCUCUCUCUUCCUCCAUGGCCAGCAAACCUUGACCUUGCUUACUGUAUUCUACUAUGAUGGAGAGAGAAUAAAGAUGUUGUCUUAAAAAGGGAAAAAUAAAUAAAUAAAUAACAGAGACACAGGCACAGACACAGACAGAGAACAGAAAGGGUUUGUAGAGGAUGAAGAGGAAGAAAUGAAAACUUCAAGGGCGUCAUCGGCUUUUAUAUAGUGGAAAGACAAUCAAGGGAGAGAGCUUCUCUGUAGUAUAUUAUUGCUUGUUGAUUCGCCAGGGAAAAUUUUUGGGCCCGCUCAGGACAAUCCAUUAUACCUCUUGGACUGUAGGAUUUACCCGAUCUCCAGUCUCGUGGUGCAGAUCUGACGGUCCGAAAUGUACAAAGGACUGUUCGAAAUACGGGAUUGGAUAAUUUUUAUAUUUAGCAGUCCGCGCAGAGAGACCGGAAAUUGUCUGGUGAUGUCGCCGUGGCCUGUGGGCGUUAGGUGACAAGGUCUCCCGAUUCCUUUGAUUUCAGUGACAGAUAUAUAAAAUAGAUAUAUAGAGUUUUACAUCUAUACACAUGUAUCACACUGACAUACAAAAUAGGCCCCCUCAUCCUCUGGUCUCUUUCCUUGUUCAGCAAGAAAUUUCUCUGAAAGUAAAUUUGUUUAGGGAA